AAGAAAGCACCUUCAUCAAAACAAUCAGAAAACAAAAAGCAAAAUAAAACCAUGGCCGGCAUAUCUUCUUCUUGCAUGUAAUUGGAAACCAUGAACGAGCGAUUUGCAAGAAGAAAACGAAGAAACAAAAUUCGAAUCUAAGAGAGCAGCAACUCAACCCCUCGGAAGUCAUCUAAGGAGGGUCCAGGUAGCGACGGUCCUCCGCCGCUUGAAGUUCCACUGCAGGAGGGGUGUUGCAGAACGAACAGGCAUGGAAACCAACCGCCCGUUGUCGAGCUUCCCAAAUCAGUGCACUAAUUUCCAAACGAUUUGACUUCGAUGAUGAAAUCUUCUCGAUCACUAUCUUCGAAUCCCCCUCCACAAUGACAUUUUGAAAUCCCAGAUCCUGUGCAAAAUCGAUGGCAUGAAUCGCCGCCAAGCUUUACCCAAGAAAACAGAGCUGACUGAGGAAGAGCUCGCCAUUGAACCACAGGGGAGUCGAGAUUAUUUCCCAAUCGAGCAUUGGCAGUGGAAAAAUCGCUGCAUUGGGAAUGAAUCAAGGCCCUUACGUACAGAGUAGGACACAAUUCCAUAUCUGAUGAUUCAACCAAGUAUCGCCAGUUUGAUGAAAUUGUUCACUGGAAAAAUGUCAGGAACCCUGUGAACAGAUUUAGAAAUUGGGUUCAAACUUAUGGCUGGUGGAGUGAACAACAAAAAACUCAGCUCCGAAACAGUGUGAGGAAACAACUGAUCAGUUCAUUAAUCGGUUUGAUCGCAAGAAUUUGUAUUUUUUGCUUCAUAGUUCUAAUGCGUUAGAAAAAAAUUAGUGCAGUUAUUGGAAGCAAUUCAGGUGGCAGAGAAAACAGAGAAGCCUCCACUUUUAGAGAUGUCCACUAUCAAACCUUGAGGAACAAGAGAAAAAUCUCAGGGAAACUAUCAUCAGACAUCCAAAUGAUUACCUUUCUGAUAUUUCUGUCUAGAUUUUUUUUUCACCUUAAAAAGAUUGUUUUCUCAAUGUUUGUUUGAUGAAGCUGAUGUUUCAGUCUCAAUUCUCAAAACUUGUGGUAUGUACAUAGGUAUUUUGAUGAUGUCGAUGAAGCAUUUUGCUGGUUUAGUGUAUGUGAAUUUGA